UGUUAAAAAUUUUAUCUAUUUAUAUUGUUAAAAAUUGACUUGUCUAACGAAAUAAUCAAAUAGUAAUACGUGAUGUGCUACAUGUAUGUCAUGUUAAUGUACAAAGAUCAAUUUUUAAUAAUAGAAAUUGAUGAAAUUUUUAACA
rfam:Gossypium hirsutum cultivar TM-1 chromosome 16, whole genome shotgun sequence